rnacentral:lncRNA from 1 species
UGAGUGAAUGAAUGAAUGAAUGAAUGAAUGAAUGAAUGAAUGAAUGAAUGAAUGAAUGAAUGAAUGAAUAAACCCGACCAGAGCUAGAAUGACCAAGCAAGGGUGAGAUCAUGGGAUGGAGGUGGUAGCCGUGAUGGCCAAGGAAGGUAGAGAGAGGCCAGAGGAAUGAGAGGGUCUGCCACCCCCCACCAUCCCAGAAUUAGAGACCCGGCCAGCAAGCAGGAUGAGGUAGGCAAUGAUAAUGGUGCCGAAGUGAGCAGAAGGGCAAGCUAAGAAAAGAAAGGUGGAGCAGGGUUGGUGGGGUCUUCUCAGCAGGGGUAAUCUACACGUCAGCCCUCCUAAUCCUCCACUGGCUCCGGCAGUUGCUUCACCCUCCCUAAUGGUAGGGCUGGCAUUUCUUUGCACAUCCAAUCAGUUACAAAGGAGUUGUGCAGCUACAGAAAAAAAUGUAACCGCAAGAGAAACACAUUUCCCCUGAACGUCUGAUCACCCUAAAAAUUUUAGUUAGUAUGUUAGUAACAUUAUUUAUUUUCAGGCACGUUGAACCGAUGGAAUCUGUCGUCCCGGAAGAGAGACAAUUUUCUCCUUCACUGAAAUGGAAGACAUGGGAAUUCAGUGAUAUAAAUCCCUUUCUGCAGGGCAUUAUGAAACAAUUCAAAGACGUGUUUGUAUCUGGGCUUCAACCACAGAAAGGUGAGUUUGGGGUCUAAUGGUUCAUCCUCCAUGUUUGGAUUUGAGGUAGGGUGGGAGAUGAUGGUCAAAAUUCACACAAAAGAUGGCUACUUCUCAGAAGGUUACCAUCAUGGAUCUCAUUCCCGUCUCAUACUUUGUUCAUAAAAACGCUAAAUCUGUUAAAUCAUUCCUUGUAUGAUGGGAAUACUUAAAAGAUUGCUCUCCUUCUCCCUCAUAUCACACAUCUUCCCUCAGCCACAACCCUGAUACUUAUGCAUUAAUAAUAAUAGCAGUCAUGUGCCAUUAAGUAAGUUCUUUAUUUUUUUAUUUAUUUAUUUAUUUAGUCUCAUUUAUAAGCCACUUUUCCCCCAUAAGAGGAUUCAAGGCAGUUCACAAGGUUAAAACAAGUAAAAUCAUAACACAACUUUUCAAGAAAAGAUUGGACAGCCCUCUGUCCGGGAUGGUAUGAGGUCUCCUGGCUUGGGCAGGGGGGUUGGGCUAGAAGACCUCCAAGGUCCCUUCUAACCCUAUGACGAUUCUAUGAACACAUUAAAAAGCAAAUCAAACUAUUAUAAUAAUAAAUUAUGUCAAGUCAUUAAAGGCA